AAGGUUUCGGCCUUAGUGGCGGACGGGUGAGUAACGCGUAGGUAUCUNUCCAUGGGGUGGGGGAUAACACUGGGAAACUGGUGCUAAUACCGCAUGACACCUGAGGGUCAAAGGCGUAAGUCGCCUGUGGAGGAGCCUGCGUUUGAUUAGCUAGUUGGUGGGGUAAAGGCCUACCAAGGCGAUGAUCAAUAGCUGGUUUGAGAGGAUGAUCAGCCACACUGGGACUGAGACACGGCCCAGACUCCUACGGGAGGCAGCAGUGGGGAAUAUUGGACAAUGGGGGCAACCCUGAUCCAGCAAUGCCGCGUGUGUGAAGAAGGUCUUCGGAUUGUAAAGCACUUUCGACGGGGACGAUGAUGACGGUACCCGUAGAAGAAGCCCCGGCUAACUUCGUGCCAGCAGCCGCGGUAAUACGAAGGGGGCUAGCGUUGCUCGGAAUGACUGGGCGUAAAGGGCGUGUAGGCGGUUUGUACAGUCAGAUGUGAAAUCCCCGGGCUUAACCUGGGAGCUGCAUUUGAUACGUGCAGACUAGAGUGUGAGAGAGGGUUGUGGAAUUCCCAGUGUAGAGGUGAAAUUCGUAGAUAUUGGGAAGAACACCGGUGGCGAAGGCGGCAACCUGGCUCAUUACUGACGCUGAGGCGCGAAAGCGUGGGGAGCAAACAGGAUUAGAUACCCU
rnacentral:rRNA from 2 species